GGGAAAGGCGCGAGGCACUCUGGGAAGGCAACCUAGGAAGGGUGGGGCCCUGGGGCCUUUUGAGGAGCUAAGUGGCCAAGGAGAGGUGCGUUUAGUUAUCUCAGAAGUCCGUUGCCCUCGUGGUGUCCAUUCUGUAACUGUUCUCACAAGACAAGACAGCCUGAGUUGUUUACAGCCAGCAACUCUUCCUGUCUGAGAGCGGUGUCUCCCGUUGGGUUUCCCUAGUGCCUCACCUUGGUCCAGAUGGCCGAAGGGGACCGUUUCCUGUGGCCUCUUCGCACUGUUCUAGGUGUUAACGAUCCCCCCCGCCCCGCCCCUACUGACUUCCUCAUCCUAGCCUUUUACUUCUUUUCUGCCUGGCCUCUGAUUUUACAAUAUACUAUGGGGAGAAAUGUCUCUGAAGUUUUACUUCAGCCUGAAAUGUAUAAGACAAGCCCUCAAGAGUUUCCAAAAUCAUAAAUACGUUGCUUUGUGAGUCUCUUGUUGGAAGGACUGUCUUUAAAUUAAAGCAAUUAGAGUUACUUUAUAAGAUUUACCCAAAUAUAAGAGCUGAAGAGAAUAAUUCAAAUUGAUCAGAAGAAAAUACUCAAUUACUGACAAAUGUCAAUUACAUCAAUAGCCUAGGCUGCUCUUGAACUCCUGGGCUCAAACGAUCCUCCCCUGUCGGCCUCCCAAAGUGCUGGGAUUACAAGCUUGAACCACCAUGCCCAGCCUCAGAAAUUUUUUAAAUGACAGCUCAUACAGUUUUCUUUUAUAAAGGAGGAGAAAAUGUGUAAUUGUAAGCAGCUGAACUAAAAUAUCUCUGUGACAUUUUGCUGGUGACUCCAGCCCUGUGAGAUCUGAGUGGCUCAGGAAUCAAAUUCUCCCACAAACCUGAGGAAGCCUUUUAUUCUUAAUGCCAACAGGAUGCCCCAUGCCCAGAAUGUCAAAUCUGAACACCAAUGGAAUGCAUUUUAUAAACAAAUUGAAAAAGGACAAUCUUUAACAGAAUUGUUGUUCUCUAGGCAGAUUAGUUGUGCUUCAAAUACAAAAUGAAAUAUUAGAGAACAAAAUUAUUUUUAAACAGCUAAUACUAGUAGAAAAUAAAAGGCUGAAAAGUGCUAUAAUGUGUAAAAGGACUAAAAUUUACUUUUAUUAC
rnacentral:lncRNA from 1 species